rnacentral:misc_RNA from 1 species
CGCUACAAGAGUAUAUGCAUUAUCUGACAAACCUUCUCGUGCCAGAAAUGAGCAGAGAAGUCGAAGUUCUGCUUGUGGCAGGUUCAAUAGAACACUUUGAGCAUCACAUUCAUUAUUUGUACCAGGAGUUGUGGAUUUAGAGGAAUCAAUGGCUGUGGACGAUGAAUCAGAAGCACUGCCAACUUCCACAUUUGUUUUAGCAUCUGAUGCGAAAUUCUGGGGAGCAGAUGGUUGUUCAGUACCAGCCCCAGAUUUAUCUGAUAAACUUGGCUUGCAUUCAGCACUGUCA